GGGCCCGCACAAGCGGUGGAGCAUGUGGUUUAAUUCGACGCAACGCGAAGAACCUUACCAAGGCUUGACAUCCUACGAAUCCUGUAGAGAUACGGGAGUGCCCCUUCUGGGGAACGUAGAGACAGGUGGUGCAUGGUUGUCGUCAGCUCGUGUCGUGAGAUGUUGGGUUAAGUCCCGCAACGAGCGCAACCCCUAUAUUCAGUUGCCAGCACUUCGGGUGGGAACUCUGGAUAGACUGCCGGUGACAAACCGGAGGAAGGUGGGGAUGACGUCAAAUCAUCAUGCCCCUUAUGUCUUGGGCUACACACGUGCUACAAUGGGCGGUACAGACGGAAGCGAAGCCGCGAGGUGGAGCAAAUCCGAGAAAGCCGCUCUCAGUUCGGAUUGCAGGCUGCAACUCGCCUGCAUGAAGUCGGAAUCGCUAGUAAUCGCAGGUCAGCACACUGCGGUGAAUACGUUCCCGGGCCUU
rnacentral:rRNA from 1 species